CCUACGGGAGGCAGCAGUGAGGAAUAUUGGUCAAUGGCCGUAAGGCUGAACCAGCCAAGUCGCGUGAAGGAAGAAGGAUCUAUGGUUUGUAAACUUCUUUUAUAGGGGAAUAAAGGUAUCCACGUGUGGAUAUUUGCAUGUACCCUAUGAAUAAGCAUCGGCUAACUCCGUGCCAGCAGCCGCGGUAAUACGGAGGAUGCGAGCGUUAUCCGGAUUUAUUGGGUUUAAAGGGUGCGUAGGUUUUUUUUUAAGUCAGCGGGGAAAGUUUGUGGCUCAACCAGAAAAUUGCCGUUGAAACUGGUAGACUUGAGUGUGUUUGAGGUAGGCGGACUGCGUUGUGUCGCGGU
rnacentral:rRNA from 1 species